AUCAGUGGGGAUAAGUACGAGGUAUCAUGGGGAUAAGUACGAGGUUAUCAUGGGGAUAAGUACGAGGUAUCAUGGGGAUAAGUACGAGGUAUCAUGGGGAUAAGUACGAGGUAUCAUGGGGAUAAGUACGAGGUAUCAUGGGGAUAAGUACUAGGUAUCAUUGGUAUGGGGAUAUGUACUAGGUAUUGAUGGGUAUUAUUCUCUGUCCCUCAUAGGGUGCAUUUUAAAUGGCACUAUUCCUCUUCGUACACUCGUUUUGACAGGAGCCACCUAGGGAGCCUCUAUAUCAGACAGGGUGUCAUUUUGAGAUGAAAACAUAGAUCUAACGACAACCAGGGUUUGGCAAGGGAUACGUCUUUUUAAUUUAGAGCGUGACGAACCUAACCCGCAGAAAUUCUAGUAAAGAGAUGUAUUUGCACACACACACUUCAUGCAUACGACACCAGCAGACAGUACACUGUACACACGGACGAGUGUUCCACAACCAGGAAAAACAACUUCCUUAAUCCACUUUUUUUUUAUUUUUUUUAUUUUUUUUAUGAACAUGUGUUUUCUUUUUUUGUGUUCUAUUUCUACAGGUUUGGUUUUCGAUGCAGUAUGUUCAUUCAAGGGUUUCCUGCAUCGUUUUGCCACUUCCUUUUUAGGCACUUUUGAAGUUAUGCACUUAGAAAACAUGUUUUAUUAAGUAAUGCACCCACCCACAAUGCAAUGCUCUUUGAAAUGAUUAGAUUAAUACUGGAGAUGGAAGGUGUGACACACAAAGGAUUAUUAAAGUGAAACGAUCACAUUCA